UCGAUCUAAUAAGUUACAGCUGUUAUUUUCAAUGCUCUUGGGUCUGGAUGCCACCCUCUAUAACAAAAGGAAAGUAAAAGAAAAUGGGAGAAUAUAAAUGGUAUGUUCUAUCUUCAUAAAAUGUAAAACUUUAAACUAAAACUAAAAAUUGGAGAAGAGAAGUAUAUUGGUCCGAACUGAUUCAAUAGUAAUAUAAGAGUUAAAUAGGGCAGCGGAGAAAACAAUUAUAUUUUAGAAUUGUUGUUU
rnacentral:lncRNA from 1 species